GGAACGGAGCAAUCCGGU
rnacentral:snRNA from 1 species